AAUGAACGCUGGCGGCAUGCCUAACACAUGCAAGUCGAACGAAGGCUUCGGCCUUAGUGGCGCACGGGUGCGUAACGCGUGGGAAUCUGCCCUUGGGUUCGGAAUAACAGUUAGAAAUGACUGCUAAUACCGGAUGAUGUCGAAAGACCAAAGAUUUAUCGCCCGAGGAUGAGCCCGCGUAGGAUUAGCUAGUUGGUGAGGUAAAGGCUCACCAAGGCGACGAUCCUUAGCUGGUCUGAGAGGAUGAUCAGCCACACUGGGACUGAGACACGGCCCAGAUUCCUACGGGAGGCAGCAGUGGGGAAUAUUGGACAAUGGGCGAAAGCCUGAUCCAGCAAUGCCGCGUGAGUGAUGAAGGCCUUAGGGUUGUAAAGCUCUUUUACCCGGGAUGAUAAUGACAGUACCGGGAGAAUAAGCUCCGGCUAACUUCGUGCCAGCCGCCGCGGUAAUAC
rnacentral:rRNA from 1 species